AAGAGCUUUCCACACCUCGCUUGUGCAACAUUUGCCCAUUUAUUUAUUUUUAAAGUUAUUCAAUGUCUGUCAAAUUGGUUGUUGAUCAUUGCUAGACAACCAUUUUCAGGUCUUGCCGUAGAUUUUCAAGUAGAUUUAAGUCAAAACUGUAACUCGGCCACUCAGGAACAUUCCCUGUCUUGCCCCAACAUGAGGAGUCAUCUGUUUCAGAGACAUGGAUAACUAUGAAAAGGUGAGGAAGAUAGGGAAAGGCUCCUUCGGGAAAGCAAUCCUCGUCAAAUCCAGGGACGAUGGAAAACAGUAUGUCAUCAAGGAGAUCGGCAUCUCCCGGAUGUCCAGUAAAGAGAGACAGGAGUCCCGGAAAGAGGUGGCUGUUCUGGCCAACAUGAGCCACGCCAACAUCAUCCAGUACAAAGAGUCCUUUGAAGAGUGUGGAUGUCUGUACAUCGUGAUGGAUUACUGUGAGGGAGGAGACCUAUUCACGAUGAUCAACUCUCAGAAAGGAGUGCAGUUCUCUGAGGAGCAGAUUAAGCAGAUCCAGGAUUGGUUCGUGCAGAUAUUGCCUCGCCCUGAAGCAUGUACAUGGCCGUAAGAUCCUCCACAGAGACAUCAAAUCGCAGUGCUGUGGAGCUGGCCAGGACAUGUAUCGGGAUGCCGUACUACCUGUCGCCUGAGAUUUGUGAAAACUAAACGUACAACAACAAAAGGAGUACCUAUCCCGGCUGAGGAAGUUCAGGCUACAGAACGUCAACGAGCGCCAGCAGAUCACAGCACGCCUCAUAGGAGAGAAGUAAGACAGUGAUGGCUCAGACAGCCAGGUGUCCUGUGAUGAGGCGGAGCCUAGGAGAAAGAAGAUUGAGGCCUUGAAGGCCCAAGCACAGGCCCGUGGAGCAGCUAGAGAAUAAGCGAAAAUAGGCGUAUGAGAGAGAAAAGAGAGCCUGGGAGGAUCAUCUUGCAGCUCGAGGCGUGAAGGUUGCCAUGGUAGCAGGAGGUGUAGCAAUAGCAGCAGCGGUAGCUCCUUCUCUAGAGCCUCCCCUUCAGCCUGGCCCCUCCCUCCCUGUACAGGACCCGGCAGCUAAAGCCCAGACUGCAUCCACAACCUCCACCCCUGCCAUCUCCAUGACUACUGCUCUGAAGGACAUGGAGUGAGAAGGAGAUUCCCUGUAGACUGAAUGAGAACCUGAAGGCCCAGAGCCCAGAGGAGGAGGUGUCAGCCACAGCCCCAGAAGGACAGUGCCCCGCCCCCCAGCAGAGCCAGCCUAUCACAGAGGAGUGACCGUCCUUUGGUGGGAACAGGAAGAAGUGGGAGGCUGGAGCUCCGUCGAUUCUCUCUGUAGCCCAGCAGACACCAGAAUAGACCUGUAUCAGAACGACUGGCUCGGUCUCCAGAAGAGAGAUUGUCCUCUGGUGGGGACAGGAAAAAAUGGGAGGCUGGACCUCCACCCAUUCUCUCCGUAGCUCAGCAGACCGUAGAGGACCGCUGGUGAAUAAACUACAUGCAUGCAUCCCAGGACAAUAUCUCC